AGAGUUUGAUCCUGGCUCAGAUUGAACGCUGGCGGCAUGCCUUACACAUGCAAGUCGAACGGCAGCGGACCUUCGGGUGCCGGCGAGUGGCGAACGGGUGAGUAAUGCAUCGGAACGUGCCAUUGAGUGGGGGAUAACGUAGCGAAAGUUGCGCUAAUACCGCAUAUUCUGUGCGCAGGAAAGCAGGGGACCGCAAGGCCUUGCGCUCUUUGAGCGGCCGAUGUCAGAUUAGCUAGUUGGUGAGGUAACGGCUUACCAAGGCGACGAUCUGUAGCGGGUCUGAGAGGAUGAUCCGCCACACUGGAACUGAGACACGGUCCAGACUCCUACGGGAGGCAGCAGUGGGGAAUUUUGGACAAUGGGGGCAACCCUGAUCCAGCCAUGCCGCGUGAGUGAAGAAGGCCCUCGGGUUGUAAAGCUCUUUCGGCCGGGAAGAAAUCGCAUGGGUUAAUACCCUGUGUGGAUGACGGUACCGGAAUAAGAAGCACCGGCUAACUACGUG
rnacentral:rRNA from 1 species